CCUUAAUUGCCAUAUUUCCGCCAUUCAUAAAGAAAUCCCCUGAAUUUUCAAGUAUCUGGUGAGUGUCGACUGCUUGAUCCUCUUUCUGGAGAGUACGUUGCAGAAGAAUCAGUGAGAGGGGAAAAGAGUUGAGUUUUCCUUAAUACGGGGGAACCUCUCUUCUUCGAAGUGGCGACUUUUUCCUUAGAUGCAACCUGCCCUAAAUGCCUUAUCUUUGUGUUGGGUACAAAUAGAAACAAUUGUUAUGUCCUCCUGGUGGUUCAACAUGGAAGAUUUUUUAGUUCAAUAAUGGUUUCACUGAGCCCAAUUCUGUUGUUGAUGCUGCUUAUGCCAGAGGGGUUUUCUAUUGAAUUUUCAAUGGAGGUCAAUGUUGAACUUAAAGAGUGGAGUGGUAUUCUAAUUGAUCAAUGAUUUCCAGGUGUUGUAAGCUCAUUGUUCUGAUUGAUUUUUCAGAGAUGCGUUGGGUUUUAUUGAAUGAGCAUGUGAUGUUUAUUGGGGGCACGUCCAACAGUGGAAGAAACAAGUGAAAUGGCGGCAGUGGCAUAUCUCAUCAUAGAAAGUCGCCACUUUAUCGUAAAUGUCGUCGAGAUCAAUUUAAGUUUACAAACUUUAGAAAAAUAUUGUAAACAUCUCUAUUUAUCAAUAAAAUUCAUAGUCCUUUUGUUCUUUA